CUACGUUCCCGGGCCUUGUACACACCGCCCGUCAAGUCACGAAAGUCGGUAACACCCGAAGCCGGUGGCCCAACCCUUGUGGAGGGAGCCGUCGAAGGUGGGACUGGCGAUUGGGACU
rnacentral:rRNA from 1 species